CCCUUAGAUGUCCUGGGCUGCACGCGCGCUACACUGAUGUGUCCAGUAAGCACCUAACCUAUUCCGAGAGGAGCGGGUAACCUUAGCAAAGCACAUCGUGAUGGGGAUAGAUUAUUGCAAUUAUUAGUCUUGAACGAGGAAUUCCUAGUAAGCACAAGUCAUCAGCUUGUGUUGAUUACGUCCCUGCCCUUUGUACACACCGCCCGUCGCUCCUACCGAUUGAAUGUUCCGGUGAGCUCUUCGGGCUGCGCGGUCUGCAGUUUCUGCGUUCCGUGCGGAAAGUUGUGCAAACCUUAACAUUUAGAGGAAGGAGAAGUCGUAACA
rnacentral:rRNA from 1 species